rnacentral:rRNA from 1 species
AGCAGCCGCGGUAAUUCCAGCUCCAAUAGCGUAUAUUAAAGUUGUUGCAGUUAAAAAGCUCGUAGUUGAACUUCGGGGUUCACCCAUUGGUCAGGCUUAAUUGUCUGUACUGGUGAGAUGAGUCUCUACCUUCUGAGAACUUUAUGCCAUUAAUUUGGUGUGAUGGGAAAUCAGGACUGUUACUUUGAAAAAUUAGAGUGUUUAAAGCAGGCUAACGUCUGAAUACAUUAGCAUGGAAUAAUGAAAUAGGACGGAUUGAUUCUUAUUUCGUUGGUUUACUAGGGUUCACCGUAAUGAUUAAUAGGGAUAGUUGGGGGCAUUAGUAUUCAAUUGUCAGAGGUGAAAUUCUUGGAUUUAUUGAAGACUAACUACUGCGAAAGCAUUUGCCAAGGAUGUUUUCAUUAAUCAAGAACGAAAGUUAGGGGAUCGAAGACGAUCAGAUACCGUCGUAGUCUUAACCAUAAACUAUGCCGACUAGGGAUCGGACGAAGUUAAUUAAGUAAAUUGAACGCGUUCGGCU